UACGUAGGGUGCGAGCGUUAAUCGGAAUUACUGGGCGUAAAGCGUGCGCAGGCGGUUUGUUAAGUCCGCUGUGAAAUCCCCGGGCUCAACCUGGGAAUGGCGGUGGAAACUGGCGAGCUAGAGUGUGGCAGAGGGGGGUGGAAUUCCACGUGUAGCAGUGAAAUGCGUAGAGAUGUGGAGGAACACCGAUGGCGAAGGCAGCCCCCUGGGCUAACACUGACGCUCAGGCACGAAAGCGUGGGGAGCAAAC
rnacentral:rRNA from 1 species